UCUGCUAACAAAGCUCCAGCCUCCAGCCAGCCAGGCCUGCAGGUUGCUAUGGCAGGGCUGCUGCUCCUGAAGAAGCUGCCCCAGCCCUGCCAGGGCGUCUCGGGCCCCAUUACAUGAGCUCUGGAUCCACCUUCCACCAAGAGAGAGCCAUGGAGCCUGAGACACUAGGACUGAUUCCUUCUGGGCCUCCCCUCCUGGGCAGCCCGUGGAGACUGCGCCCCUGCACAGCCUGGUGCCUGGCAACCAAGCUCCGCAGGGUAAGAGACACCCAAAGUGCAAGAGGAAGGAUGAGAGAGAGGCCAGGAACACGAUGGCAGCAGAGAUGGGUGGCCAGCCUCGGCGAACCACAGAAGAUAGUCCAGGAAGGUCCCAGGCCUCCACCACAGGGACCAGCAGAGCUCCAAGGGACUCUGGGGAGGCAGACCCCAGGAAAGACCCGCCUUUGGUGAGGGCAGACAAGGCAGCUUUCCGAGGACACGGGCCUCUGCAUCAGGAGGGCGCUGGCCUUGGCAGGUGAAAGGUCACAGCCGUGUGGGAGAUCUCAGGUCAAAGACAGAGGGACCUGGAGCCACUCCACAGCACCUGGUACAGGCUGGCGUCCAAGGACCUCCCUGUUUCACUUCAUCCUUAUCACCCCAGGUAGCAGGAGGGCUUCUGUCCCCAAGUGACUCAGCCCCAGGCCUGGGAACAUCCACAGCCACUGUGGCCAGCACCAGGCUGGGUCAGCUUCUGCAAACCCCCACCAGCUGGGCCCCAGCACUGCUGCCAGGGUCCAGGGGCCCUGGGCAUGUUCCAAGAGCACAUCUCAUGUCCUUCCUGGGUCCCUAGGCCUUGUCAUUCAGGGUGCUCCUGGGCCUCUGCCGCGUCCCUUCAGCAUGCAUUGAUAAGCACACAGACGAGAACGAGACUCACGGCCCAAGAAACCGGCCACUAGCCCAGGUAGCCUGGUCUGCUGCACAGCAGUCCCCAGACACUCCAGAGACCUGAGGCCCAUUUGGCAGGUGUCAGAUACAAGGGAAGGGAAGCCAGACAUGGUGGUACACACCUGUAAUCCCGGCGGCUAGGCAAGACCCUAUCUCUAAAUAAAAUAUAAAAAGGGCUGGGGGUGAGGCUCAGUGGCUAAGGGCCCCUGGGCUCAAUCCCUGGUACCAAAACAAAAGCAGGGGAGGAAGGUGGGAGAGGCCAAGACUGAGGAGCAGGACACAGGGGAGGGGUGCCUGGGGCCAGCGCCUGCUCCAAGGCUGCUGACCCGACUCCCUCAGGACUUGUCCUGGAUUCCUGCCGGUCCUGCCCUUCCCCUGCUGCCUCCUGUCUCCCAGCCUUCUUCUGGGAGCCCCUCAUCCUGACAGCCCAGCGGGUGUACCCUGAGACCCCACUGACCCAAGCUGUUAGAGCACUUGUCACUCUGCACCACCAACUGCAUGUGGCCCUGAGAACACUCCGCCUCAGUCCCUGUGCCGUGUGCUUGGCACACAGAGACAGGACCACCAGCAGCACCAAGUACCCUGAGGACACCCAGGAGGUCAGGAGGGCACCUCUGCUUGCUCUGCUUGCUGUUUCCAGACAGGCGUGUCUGCAAGUUCAGCCACCGCAGGAGUGCCCCCAGCUCAUCAGGAACCAGGAAAGGCCGGGAAUGCUCCCUCAGGUGGCAGCAGAAGAGCCAGAUGUGCCUUUCCAGCUUCUUCCCCAGGGGUAGAGGUCCAGGCUCCCCGGAGCGUGUCUCUGUGUGGAUCUCACCCACGUCCCUUUCCAUGUGCCGAGGCGCAACGACCUCUACAGAAGACUGACCCUGAGCUGCCCUGGCAAGACCUCCAGCUCCCUCUCCACCUGCCAGGUUCAAAGACAACAGCAGACACACACAAUCCUGCACCCUUGAUUCCCGGCUCUCCUGGGCUCUCUGUCAAGAGCAAGCCCUAAGAUAAAUGUCACUCAGAGAGAUGAGGUCUUCUAUGGCUUUUCAAACGACCCCCAGUGGGAUGCCAUGUGCAAAACCCAGACUGUGGGAAACUAUGAAAUAACUGAGAUGUGAGGAAGGGGGCCCGUAAGGCUGCGGAGACCUGCCACAGUGUUAGGAAAAGCUGCCACACAGGCUGAAGCUACAGAGUGCUGCGAACGUGACAUUCUGGAAGAGGCUCAAGUACAGGAACUUAGGAAGGAGAUCAAUGGUUGUCAGAGGCUGGGUGGGGACUGACUGCCAGAGGACUCUGGGGAAGCCUUGGGGGGAUGAGUACCCUCAGGUCAGACUGUACCUUAUAAGGGGGGAUUUUACCAGCUACAGAUUAGAGCUUAGGACACCCAACCCCCCAGACAGAGAGACACUUACAGGACUCCCUAAUCAGCUGCAGUCCAUAGGUCUGGAUUAGAUUCUGAAUUAAAAAAAAAAAAAAAAAAAAAACUAUCAGAAAGCCAAACCCAAACAAUAAUCGGCCAGGAGGCCACUGGGGAUCAGAUGAUGGGAGAGAUUACUGUGACCUUUAGGUGUGAGAGGACAGACCACACUGUUUAAAAGGGAGUCCUUGAAUUUUAGAGGAAAAUAUUUUCAGAUAAAAUAUGAUUUCUAGGGAUUGCUUUAAACUAAUCUGGGGGUGGGGUGUGCAAGACAGGCCUGGGGAGCUGUAAGACUGGGUGAUGGGGUCACAUGGGCUUGUUCUCCUGGGUUCCGUAUCUGGGUAUUUUUGGGAAAUAUUCCAAAAUAAAAAGCAUUAUUUCUCUUUAAAGCACCCUCUGGUGCCAGGGGAGGGCACAGAGGUGGGGGCCCUGCAGAGGAUCUCAGGGCCAGGGCCACAGAGAGGGUCCCAGCAGCUGGGCUGGCUAGGGACAGGCACAGGUGACCCCAGAGCGCAGGCCCUUCUAGACAGGGCCGCACUGGGCCCAGGUGGCCAGGUCUUCUGAUGAUUUUUCCCUCUGGUUUUUAUGUGUCAGACUUUGUAAUGUUCUAAUUAAAAAUUAAUAAACAAUACUGGGUAACCAAACCCAGCCAGCAGGCCAGGCUUGCCCUGGAGGCAGACUUACGCACAGGUUUAGCAUCCUGAAUUCUACAGCCGUUCCCUGGGUAGCUCCACUUUAGCAGGCGGCCCUGUGCUAGGCCGGGGACCCAGACAGGAAGUGGAUGUCACUCUGAACAAAUGCCCAUCUUCUAAGAGGGGCGCUCCAGCAGGGCAGGCUCAGGGUGGGCGUGGGGCUGCUAUGGGAACCAACACCCCUGCUUGUCCUUAGGUUCCCUCCAGAGGAGCCAGCUGAGCCCUGUGGCUGGGCAGGGAGCAGGUAUGAGAGCCAGGACUGUUACAGGACCUGUGGUCCCGGCUGGUCCUCUUUUACAAGCCUUUAUCUGCUACUAUAAACAGUUCAGAGUGAGCUGGGGGCGGGAUCAACCUGGACUCGUGAAAGAGACACUGACUGCCAAGAAUUAGUUGAUACCUUCAAUCUGAUCCUGGCUAAAUCCCAGCAGUUUUUUAAUUUGAUUUUGGUCGACAUUGACAAAUUGAUUCUAAAAUUUAUGCAGCAAUAGCGGGGGGAGCCAAUAGGGUAGGAUGCAGGAAGACUUGCCUAGCAGAGCUCAAGAUAAGACACUGAACAAAUCACAGAAAACAGCAGGUGUGGGGCUGGUAGAGGACAGCCCGCAGAUCAGAGGAACACUGUGGAGUCCAGAACCAACCGGUCCACAGCCACCUGCUUUGUGUGGAGGGUGACGCUGACACCUAGUGGGGAGAGAAGGGCCAUGCCCCCAUCCUGUACUGGGACAGUACACAGAGCCACACCCCUCUAGGUACACAGCUCUCAGCUGGAUGGCACAAGUGAGUGUAAAAGCUGGGGCCCAGCACUUGCCUAGUGUUGAGACCAGGGUCUUAUCCCCAGCCCUGCAAAAGCAAAAGCAAAAAAAAAAAAAAAGAAAGAAAAAA